UGCAGGACUGGACUCCACAGAGCCGGACAGCAUGCACCCAGGGGACAAGAUUUAACAGAUGUAAGUAUGUAAUUAUGUAUGUAUGUCUGUAUGUCUGUAUGUCUGUAUGUAUGUAUGUAUGUAUGUAUGUCUCUGUAUGAUGUGUGUAUGUAUGUAUGUCUGUGUAUGUCUCUGUAUGAUGUCUGUAUGUCUCUGUCUGUAUGUCUGUAUGUAUGUCUCUGUAUGUAUG